GUCCCAGGGUUAACUUAAUUACUAUUAGUACCAUGCAAACACAAGAACAAGAGUUAUGCGAUAGAUGGGGCUAACAGAGGAAACCUGGGAGAUCAAGAGUCUCCAGAAAAACAAUGGUUGAAGAUGAAAGUUCAGAGCCCAUUAGAACUUUGGAAUGACUCUUGAAUGUGGGUAAUGGACACACAGGACAAAUGUAGGAGGUAAGAAGUCAGACUUGUCAGAUGAGACUCAGCACAAUCCACUUUCCCUUUAAUGUCAAAGUGGCCACUCUCGUGAACCUUGUCAAUCAGAAUGGCGCCAUAAGAUCGUGGUCUUUGGAGCUGGGGUUGUGGCUCAGUGGUAGAGUGCUUGCCUCACAUGUGUGAGGCACUGGGUUCGAUUCUCAGCACAUAUAAAUAAAUGAAUAAAAUAAAGGUCCAUCAACAACUAAAAACAUUAAAAAAAAAAAAAAGAUCAAGUUCUUCUCACAAACAUGACAUCUGUGAAGACUGCGUGUUCAAGGGAACUCAGUGAGACUAGAUUCUUCUCAAAGUGCUUCCAGGAAGCAAGAAAGAGGAACUAUGGUAAGAGUCUUGCAGGGAACCCCACAUCUAAUAAAGAGGUAUGAACCUUUACAUCAAAAGAUUCAUCAAGAGUUUAUUAUAUGAAAAUGGGAAGCCUGGGGUUCUGGUCUUGCUUGACCUCUAGCAGGUAAGUCAUUUUACCUUCUCUGGGCCUCAGUUUUCUCACCAGUACUCUGAGUUACCUAAUUAGAGAUUUCUACAUUUCAUACUAGAUCUGAAACAUUUUAAAUUCUUUGAAUUCAUGUUAUUUAUUUUCUUUUUGUUUCCCCCUGCAGUGCUAGAGAUGGAACCCAGGAUCUCAUGCAUACCAAGCAUGUGCUGUUAAUCUGAGCUGCUCCCCCAGCCCCAUACUAUCAUUUCUACAUAGAGCAUUCAAGAUAGUUUAGAGGUUUUGGUCCCAUAAAGCAGCGGAUUGAAAUGUCAGCUCUCCCUCUCCAAUGUGCACUUCAUCCCCUAGCAGAGCAAGGGCUGUUCUUGUGUAUCUACAGGAACACCCACACUUACACAGGCACAGGUGUGGUUGUCCCACGUUACUCCACAGGACCCACAGUGGCCUCGCCCCGUCCCAUCUCAGAACAAACUGUGAGUGAUAACUCGGCGUGUUGCUCCGAGCUUUCCACAAGUCCAAGCUGGCAGUCCUUGAUGCAUUGAGGACCUGGGAAACAUCUGCAGUUUUGUGAUUCUUCCUCGUUUCCAUUCCCACGAUGCUCCCUGUGACUGCUUGGAUCAGAGAAAGGUCGCCGGCUCCAUCUGGCCACCCUGCCCCCCUCCAUUCCCUCCCUCACCACUCUCAUCCCCCCUAAGGAGUUUCUGCCCAUUUUGUCACUUCCACCUGUUCUGACAGGUUCCCCUGCCUGACCCCAAGAUAGCCCUUGGGGACAUUAAUCAUAUAACAGCCGGAGCCGUGAAAGAAACAAGGGUUUGGCUGGAUACUGUUACCGUCUCUGUCACCUACUAAUCAUGUCCUAUGACACAGAAGGGCUUAAUCAGAUGGUCUGCUCUCUCAUUAAUCAUCCUGGGCUCACUCAAACUUAACAGAGAGAUUAAAGUUUAGCUUUGCUGGCUUCCCGUGUCUCCUCCUGUCUCACCCUUUUCUAUAGCAGCGUCACCAGGGAAGGUCUCAAGUUCCUUCUGCUUUGCCAACUGGCGGGGCACUGAAAUGUCGGUGCCUACGAACACCAUGGUGCCCAGGAAGAGAAGGAGGAUUCUGCUUCUUUUCUCCUCUCCCCUGUCCACCACAUCAACCCACACCCAAUCCAGAGAGACGACAAUCAAAACCACAGUUGAUGGGAAGACUGAAAAUCCCAGACCUAUGCCUGUACCGGGGAGUCGAACAAAGAUUUAAAUACAGGAAAAAAUACAAGUCAGGCCUGAGACUGGAGAAGGUGGGGUGUUUCUCCUACUGCUCCAAGAACCAGUGAGUGCUUUUUUUGUGUUUAAACAACAGCAAGGAGAAUUAAAAAAAAAAAAAAAAGAUUUUUUUAAAUGAUUCAUUAAAAUAGGUGUUUGUGGCCCAGUUGGCUGGGAGCAGCUGGGUAACAGAGAAGGCUCCCGCUCUGAGAAUGGCAGCCCAAGAUCAUCCUCUCUCACCACUCCGCUGAAAUGAUAGCCUCAAGCAAGUCAAAAAUAGCCUGAAUCCUUUACAGAAUUCUUUCCAGACCAAAAUAAAAAUGGCAGAAAGGACCCUCCAAAAAUACCCAGUACCGGAGAGCCAGGGUGUAUUUCAGCUCAGCUGAUUCAUUCUUACCCUGCUUGCAAUUCUCUGCCCUUCAAAGGAGAAGAGCAAGUCCUGGCAGAGGCCUUCAGCCAAGGGCCUCUCCCCCAGUAUUGGUUUUGUACUUGCUCGGUGUGCUGUUGACUUUUGCAGCUCUGUACGAUUAUGGGAAACAAGGAUAAUAUUUGCCCUCAGAGCCAGGAAAGAACAAAUAUUUUAUCAACAUCUAAAUCAUCUUUCAUCUAGCAGGGGAGGAGGCGCUGAAUGCCCAGCUGCACACACUGGACAAGGACUAAAAUCUCUCCAAGCCUAAGAAAAUUCAAGCCCAGACAAGGAGAAGCCUCCAGAGGCCCUUUUAAGAGCUGCUUGUCCCUGGACACUCCCUCCUCUCAACUGCAGUUCCCAUCCUUCCCAUAAUUCUAACAACAGAGAAGACCUUGGGGGUGAAUCUGGCAUCUUCUGAGACACUAGAAGAUGACUGUGAAUAUUUCAACUUGAUCUAGGCUGUCCAUUCGGUUCCAAAGAACUCAAGCACUCCACACCACAGGAGACACUCAACUUUUCCUAAGAACUAUCAAAGAAACUGCCAACUAGAAGAUUCAAACUCUUUUUUUUUCACUACCCAUGCAUUCUGCCUAUACUCCAGUUAGCAAGAGAAAGUCAAAGGGGAAAGGCUUCAGUUAAGGAGGUUAAGUCCUCUGGUUUGGAAACUUCUCCAUACCAGCACCCUGCCAAGAUGGUAAUGUGUUGCUUAUUCUCAUGUCAGUUUCCAAGGAUGGGGGCAAAUCUUAAGUGGCAACAUUCUGACAGAUGUAAUCCUUUUUCAAACACAUACCUCCGCUAAUGUAGACAAAUGCAAUGCAAAAAAAAUGGAAACAGCAACCAGAGGAGAAAAACUCUGCCUUCUGUCAACAGCACCCUCAGGCAAGAACACACAGCAAAGCAUUAAGUAAUUUAAUCUCCAAAAGGGAGCCUUCUGGCAUUAAGGCUACUCCGAAGUCCAAGGGGCCAGGCCACACCCUGUGCAAUGAGCAAUGGGCUUAGUGGCCAGGAACCCACAAGCUCAGAUGGAAAGCCAGGGAAAUACCCAGGGCCCAGUGGGUCUUCCCCAGAGCCAAGGCGCUGAAUGCUGCUGACCUGGGGGAUGCCUUCCCUGCAUGGGCCUCAGGUCAGAGGCUGGACAGUUGGAGGCUCUGGGUGGAAGUGCCCCUCCUUCCAUGGCUCUUUGGGAGAUCAGCACAAGAAGCAAGCUGAACCCUGAUGCUAAUCAGGCAGCUUUGAGUGAAGGGUGACGAGGGCCGGCGCCGACUCCACUCUGCCCGCCCAGGCCGCCAUCCUGGCCACAGAUCUCACUUAGCGAUAAGCAGGGGACUGCGCAGGCUCCCUACUACUCUUAUCUUGCAUGCACUGAUGUGCUCAGGAAGAGGGGACCAGGGAACCCUGCUCCCAGAGCCUUAUGGCAGAAGCUGGGGUGCUUUGCCGGGCUCCCUACACCCCCUACUCACCGCUGCAAGGAGACAGAGCCCUCCUUCGCCAGCUCCUCCAAGUCUGCCAACCCCCUCCUCCCUCGGCGUGCUCCCUCAUGCAGCUUUCAUUAACUCCCUCGGCCGGCAAUUUCCAUCCAUUUGACGACAGAUUAGAAGUGGAAUUCAAAAAGAAAGUCACUUGACCUCCCAUAAUGUGCUUCUCUUAAUUACAUUAAAGAUUUUCAAAUGUAGCCAUACUGGGUUUGACAGGUAAGGUUUUAAUCAACUUCAGGUGGCCACUUUUAAGUGCUCCCUGGACUGGAGCCGCAAAGUUGGCGUCACCCACGCUCCCAACGUGGUUCUAAUUUAAAUGGCUAAUUUUGACACGGAGAAAAGAUGAGAGGCCACGGGGCCCCACUGCUUCGGUGGGCGUGAUUUCUAAAUUAGGAUUAAUGCAGCAAGCUGAAGCAUGGUCGCAGGUUUAUUUUAUGGAGGUUGGAGCAAGUAAAUAACAUUUAUCCUUUGUAUACAUCUGCAUAUAAUUACAGCAAAGUUUUCUUGUGUGUUAAAUUAUACAAACUCUUCAAAAGUGGGUGCCUAAUGUCUUUUUCUAAAGCUGUGUUAUUAUUUUGGUCAAAAGUUGUUUACAUUAAACAAAUUCAAUUUACUAAACUUUGACAUGUUUGCACAACUGCAUAUAAUUUAUGCUGGAAGCCUGAAGCAUGACUUUCAAGUGAACUUUCUUGGUUCAAACUUGAUAGAUUAGGCAUUCAAUGUUGAGGGGUGGUGGCUUGCUCCAUCCAGGUUUUGUGGCCAAUUGAACUGAUUUGGUUUUCCUCUCUCAGAAUAUUUUAAUCAUUGGGUAAAUGUGUAUCGAGUAUCCACUGUGGUCCAAAUAUUAAUGCUGGGUCCUGAGGAUAUAAUGGUGUGCAAAAAAAGAUACAGUCCCAGGCUCAAGGAGUUCAAGGAUUAUUUAAGGAAACAGAGAAGCAAAAUAACUUGUGAAGACAGUCUUUAAAUCGCAAAGACAACAAGAAAGUAGCAUCCAUGCUGCUUUGAGGAUUCAUAAACUAGCAGGAUCUGUCUGAGCUUGGGGGAAUGCUGGCCCAGGGAAGUGAUAGCAUGAGCUGAGAACGGGAAAGACAAAGACAAAGUAAAAGGUUAACUUUGGUGGGAUGGAGAAUGUUACCUAGAAGGGACCAAAAAGGUAAGUGGGAGUCUGCAACAGGUACCCUUGUCUGUGAGGUAGCUGGAAAGGGGGUAGUAGGGCCAGGCUCCCCCCCAGGGCAUAGCUUAUUUUAGGAAUACUGUCUUUAUCCAAAUAGCAGGACUAAGUGCAAGGUUUGAAGCAGGGAGCUCAACUUUUUGUUUGUAUUUUGCAAAGAUCUAUUGAAGGGCAGAGUAGAUGGCAGGUCUGAUGGAGUUGGGCUAGUUCAGAGGCUUUAUAGUAAUUUAGAAUUUUUUUUUAUCUGCCCAUAGCUUUUAUUUUAUUUUUUAAUUGAUUUUUUAAAAAAAUAAAUGACAGCGGAAUACAUUACAAUUCUUAUUACACAUAUACGGCACAAUUUUUCAUAUCUCUGUUUAUAUAUAAAGUAUGUUGACGCCAAAUUGUGUCUUCAUACGAGUACUUUGGAUAAUGAUGUCCAUCACAUUCCACCAUCUUUGCUAACCCCCUGCCCCCUCUCUUUCCCUCCCACCCCUCUGCCCUAUCUAGAAACAAAACCCACCCUCCUGAAGUGGUUUGACCUAGGGUGAUGGUAGUACAGAAUGACAGUGGAUAGCUUUGAGGGAUGGUGAGGGGGUGAUGUUGAUGGGAUGUUGAGACAGACUGGUCGACUCCGGUUUCUGACUUGUAAAGCUAUAGGGACCUAGAACCAUCCACUGAGAGCUCAGAGUCUGUUAUGGUUUAGAUGUGAGGUGUGCCCCAGAAAGCUCACAUGUGAGACAAUGCAAGAAGAUCUGGAGGAGAAAUGAUUGGGUUAUAUCCUUAGCAUAAUCAGUGAGCUAAUCCCUGAUAACUGAAGUGGUAGGGUGUGACUGGAGGAGGUGGCAAUUGGGGCGUGGCUUUGGUGUAUAUAUUUGUAUCUGGCAAGUGGAGUCUCUGCUUCCUGAUCACAGUGUUGUGAGCUGCUUCCCUCUGCUCUGCCAUCUUGUCCCGCUAUGGUGUUCAGCCUCAUCUUGAGCCCUGAGAAAACUGUGAGCCCUCAAAUAAACUCUUCCUCCUCUAUAA